rnacentral:rRNA from 1 species
UACAGAGGUCUCAACCGUUGUUCGGAUUCAUUGGGCGUAAAGGGUGCGUAGGCGGUCGCGCAAGUCGGAUGUGAAAUCUCAGGGCUCAACCCUGAAACUGCAUUCGAUACUGCGUGGCUAGAGUGCUGGAGAGGAGACUGGAAUUUACGGUGUAGCAGUGAAAUGCGUAGAGAUGUGGAGGAACACCAGUGGCGAAGGCGACUCUUUGGCCUGUAACUGACGCUGAGGCGCGAAAGCGUGGGGAGCAAACAGG